UGGCAGUACAGCUGGCAGCCAGUGACAGCUCGCUCCAAGCACCACCACUCAGUGGGGGAGAAUGAGGAAUUAAUGCCAAGAGGUUCUUCUUGGCAUCGGACAGCAUUCACACGAAUGACCUGCUCUUUCUCCCUCCAAAAUUAUGGAUUUUUUGAUUAAUGAAAUGAGGAAGCCAGACUACUUUGUUUUCUACAGCACAUCUAUUAGUAGCUGCAGCCGCAAGAGCCAGCUGGGAAUGAUCCUCAUGUAGCUCAGAGUGCUUGCUGAGCCACCUGCCGAGCCAUCUUGUCGCUUGUGUCUAGGAUUUUAAUCAUUAUGGGAACAGAGUCAUUA
rnacentral:lncRNA from 1 species